rnacentral:rRNA from 1 species
AUUGAACGCUGGCGGCAUGCUUUACACAUGCAAGUCGAACGGCAGCGCGGGCUUCGGCCUGGCGGCGAGUGGCGAACGGGUGAGUAAUGCAUCGGAACGUGCCCAGUAGUGGGGGAUAGCCCGGCGAAAGCCGGAUUAAUACCGCAUACGACCUGAGGGUGAAAGCGGGGGACCGAAAGGCCUCGCGCUAUUGGAGCGGCCGAUGUCGGAUUAGCUAGUUGGUGGGGUAAAGGCUUACCAAGGCGACGAUCCGUAGCUGGUCUGAGAGGACGACCAGCCACACUGGGACUGAGACACGGCCCAGACUCCUACGGGAGGCAGCAGUGGGGAAUUUUGGACAAUGGGGGCAACCCUGAUCCAGCUAUGCCGCGUGCGGGAAGAAGGCCUUCGGGUUGUAAACCGCUUUUGUUCGGGAAGAAAUCCUCUGGGCUAAUACCCCGGGGGAUGACGGUACCGGAAGAAUAAGCACCGGCUAACUACGUG